GACGAACGCUGGCGGCAUGCCUUACACAUGCAAGUCGAACGGUAACGGGCCUUCGGGUGCCGACGAGUGGCGAACGGGUGAGUAAUGUAUCGGAACGUACCUUUCAGUGGGGGAUAACGUAGCGAAAGUUACGCUAAUACCGCAUAUUCUGUGAGCAGGAAAGCAGGGGAUCGCAAGACCCUGCGCUGAUUGAGCGGCCGAUAUCAGAUUAGCUAGUUGGUGAGGUAAAGGCUCACCAAGGCGACGAUCUGUAGCGGGUCUGAGAGGAUGAUCCGCCACACUGGAACUGAGACACGGUCCAGACUCCUACGGGAGUCAGCAGUGGGGAAUUUUGGACAAUGGGGGCAACCCUGAUCCAGCCAUGCCGCGUGAGUGAAGAAGGCCUUCGGGUUGUAAAGCUCUUUCGGCCGGGAAGAAAUCGUAUCAGCUAAUACCUGGUGCGGAUGACGGUACCGGCAUAAGAAGCACCGGCUAACUACGUGCCAGCCGCCGCGGUAACAC
rnacentral:rRNA from 1 species